rnacentral:misc_RNA from 1 species
AAAUUAGCUUAGAUUUUAAACAAACAUAAUUACAUCCCUUAUAACACAUCUAUCAAUAACUUUAAUACUAGCACAGUAACUAUUCCUUUAUAUAUUACAUGUUUACUAAACAUACAACAUACAUAUAAAUACUUGAUAGCUACUUUUACUGCUUAAGCUCCAAAGGACUCUUUUACUCCUGCACUCCUCUUAUAGCCUAUCAUCCAUCUAACAUUAAUGGUAACUAGCCUCGAAUCCUUA